rnacentral:lncRNA from 10 species
GUGUCAUGAAGAGGUACAACAGGGAAGAGGGCAAUCAUGGUCCCUGCCUUAGUGGAUCUUACGGCAUCUUGGGGGCACAGAUAAUAAACACCUGAAUCUGAAAAUUAUCCUUUGAGGAAGGCUGAGCAAGAAUUAAUUCCCCCAUUUUACAGGUGAGGAGAUGGCAUCUCAGAGAGGUUACCUGACUUGCUGAAUGUUACCCACAUGUUAAGUCACAGGACUUGAACUCAGGACUUCUCAACUCAGAAUCUGGCCCCUAUUCCCUGGCUAUGAGCCAUCUCAGCUUCAUGGGGCUGCAUUUAGAUGGGAGAGCUAUAGACCCCGUGCAUAUGUUGCCAGUGGGUGAAAGCUGCGGGCUUCAUCCCUGUGUAUGGAAGAAGAGCUUAGACAGACAGAUGGGUAGGCACACAUUUUUACAUCCCAUACAUAUGGACUCUCAGUUCCUAAGACCUGAAAAAUCACAGUUUCAUAGUGAGUCACUUCCCCUCCCUUCCUCUCUGUUCACUUAUCCCUAUUCUCUCAUUUCCUCUAAUAUUUGGCUUCCUCUCUAUUCACUUCUCCCUAUUCUCUCAUUUCCUCUAAAGCUCUAAGCCUUGCACAGUGCGAGAUCUGCCUAAGUGAUGGUCAUCCCUUCCAAUCAAUAUGGUGGCUUCAUCUCAAUGGCAACCCCUGGAAACCCUGCCUUGGUGACCAAGGAGGAGCAUACCAGGAGCAAAUUAUGAGCAAAUUAUGAGAUCAGCUUGGUUCCUGGUUUCUUGAUUCCUUGCUUCCUGUUGACCACGUGAUAGGGAAAAUCUCUGCUUUCUCUACUGCUGAGUUUCUCUGACACUCUAGUGGUGAUCAAAACCGGCCCCAAAUCUGAUUCAGCAGGCUCAUACAAUGCCAGGUUGGUGAGAUGAGCCCUCCCCUGAAUCAACAGUCUCCCUUCUCUGUUCUCAUGGAGCAAACAGAACGUGAGCCCCCCAAGGACGGAGCAACUCCUGGACCCCACUGGAUCAACAAGGCUCAUUCUUCUGGAUCUCCGAUGCCAUGGUGCAUUCUUUCAAAGGGCAGUUAUAGAAACAAGCAGAUCAUUUCCCCAAAAAGGCCCAUUCCUGUGUUUACCAAUUGAAAAGUAUGUCACUUAGGGUAAGCUUUCAGGACAUAAGAAUGGUCAGCAGUCUUGAUGAGAACACAUUUUAUUGCAGUUAAUUAAACAUCAUAAAAAUGGAUCAGUUUCACUGGCAGUUUAAAUGAGUGAGAUUCUUUCCAGAGUAGCUACGAAGGCUUUGGCAGAUAUUACCCCAUUUAAUUCUCACAGUAACCCCAUGAGGAAGUUAAUAUCGCUGCCCUAUUUUUCAGAGGUGGAGAAACUUGCCCAGGGACAGGCAGCUGAGGUCCUGCUAUGGUCCUGCUAUGUUACCCAAGGUGGUCUUGAACUCCUGGCCUCAAGCCAUCCUCCUGCCUCGGCCUCCCAAAGUGCCAAGAUUAUAGGCAUGAGCCACUGCACACCCAGCCUGCCGUGUGACAUCUGAGGCUAGAUUAUAAGAAUGCUAUGAGCUUCCACCUGGCUUUCAUGGACAGGAUGCUAACUCUUGGAACUCACCUGCCAUGUCGUGAGGAAGUCCAAAUCAUCCCACAUGGAGAGGCCUGUGAAGGUGCUCUAGCUCACAGCCCAGCUGAGGUCCUGGCUGACAGCCUGCAUCAUCUGCCAGGUAUGAGUGAAGAUGCUUCCAGAUGAUUCUAGCUCCCACUCUCAACUUGGAUUCUUCCCAGCAGAGGCUCCAGAAAUCAUAGAGCAGAGAUCGCCUCUCCCUACUCUGCUUUGUCCAAGUUCUGGGCUAUAAAAUCUAUGAGCAUGGUAGCAUGAUUGUUUUACACCAGAAAGUUUUGGGGUAGUUUGUGACAUAGCAACUGGUACAGAAAUUAUUUGCUAACAAGCAGGCAUCUCUCUCAAGGGGGAAAGUCUUCUGGUUAUCUUUGCACCCUUUUCUGGGGCAAAUAUGAUUGGUAGGGAUGAUGCCCAUCAUAGCACCAUUGCUUCAUCAGAGGCCGUUUGGAUCAAUGAGCCCUUCCGUGUUCUUUAGUCACAAUAUGUUAAUAUAUCUUACUUGUCCAUUUCCCACUGACUAGAAUAUCAGUUCCCUAUGAUAAGUUUUUUCCCCUAUUUUGUUUGUUCCUAUAUCCCCCAAACCCAAACUAGUACAGGUGCUCCUCACCUUAUGAUGGGGUUACCUCCCAAUAAACCCGCCAUAAAGUUGAAAAAUCCUAAGUUGAACCAUCUUAAGUUGAGGACCAUCUGUGCUUGGUAGUUGCUCAAUAAAUAAUUGUUGCAAUAAAAAAUUGUCGGAUGAAUGGUUAUGAAACAAACAUCUAGUGGGCAAAAGUUUUGAUACUGAUUUCUGGAGAGAAUUUUGCUAACAUUACCAUGUUCUAGUUGUUAUGAUAAUGUAAAAUUACUUUCUGGAUAAGGACAAGUUCACAUUGUGGUGGUAAUUUCUGGAGAAUAAUUGUUAAACGUUCCCACUUUUUCUUGAAAUAACACAAAAGAAUCAUUAGGAAAGGUAUAAUGAGUGUUAGGGACACGUCAGGUCCAUACUCAGGAGCUUGUUCAAGGAAUUGGUACCUGGACACUCUCUAAAAGGAUUUGAUAUCAGUCAACAAGGAAGAAGUGAUUCGAGUAAACCUUCCUUUGUUGCCUGGCAUAUGCUGGGUAUCAUAGGGACCACAAAAAAUGUAAGAUGUAGAUGCUGUCUUCAAACUGUGUUGAGUCUAGCUGGGGAGACAUAAGAUUGGAAUCUAUAUACAGAUAGCCCAGUAAGGCAAGCUAGGUCCAGUGGUGAAACUGAUAGGGUUUCACCAGCUGAGGUCCCCAAGGGUGAGAGAAUGUCAAAGAAGACUUCCUGGAGGAGGCAAGUUAAAGGGGAUUAUGGGUUGGGCAGGUGGACAGCUUCCUGAUCCACUAAUCAGAGGAACACUGAAACCACAGGGAUCCAUCAGAAAUCUGCUGCCUGUUAACUCAGGUUUCCACCUGCAGCUUCUCACAUAGCUGGUGGAAAUGAAAUUGGUGUCCCUUUUGCCAAAAUAGACAAUGCCCCUAAGUAGAAAGAAAAGCUACUCCUCCCCAGCACCAGCCUACCUCUGUGGGGGUAUUUCUGCAAUGUGCAUUGCAAGUUGCUGCAUCCACUGGCCAGUCUGGCUCUGAGAUCAGCCAGCUGGCAGCCUCUGCAGUGGGCAUGGCUGGGCAGCCUGAAUUCUGAAACCAAUUAAUGCACUGCAAAGGACGGUUUACCAAGAAGGUAUCUGCAAGCCUUAAAAAAUAUCUCCUAAAAAGUUGUCCACUUGUAGUCCCAGCUACUCGGGAGGCUGAGACUGGAGGAUUGCUUGAGGCUAUGAGUUUGAGGCUGUGGUGAGCUAUGAUUGCAUCAAUGCAUACCAGCCUGGGCAACCAAGUGAAACACCGUUGCUGUAACCACAAGCGCCUGAAAACAAG